UAUUUAAAUAGCUUAUAAUUUAGAGUAUAAUAUUGAAGAUAUUAGGGAGAUUAUUUUAAUCUUUAAAUAU
rnacentral:tRNA from 1 species